CGGGAAACUGCGCGCGCGCUAAUGGCCCUCCCUGAGGCCGCCGUCGCGGGACAAGGGUGGCCGGCUAAGUCUUGCUAAAACUGGUGAGUUUCAAUAAGGAUGAGCAGUCUACAAUCCUACCACCAGUUCAUUACCUCUGAACAACUUUUGUGGCCUUUUGAAUUCUAUGUGCAGUU